rnacentral:rRNA from 1 species
UUCGAUGGAGGGUUUGAUCCUGGCUCAGGACGAACGCUGGCGGCGUGCUUAAUACAUGCAAGUCGAGCGAUCGGACGAGGGAGCUUGCUCCCUCGUUACGGAGCGGCGAACGGGUGAGUAACACGUGAGCAACCU